AAAAAAAAUCUGGGGCUGUUUGAGAACACUCUCAUCUACAUGCAAGUGUCAGAAUAAAGAAAGGAAUAUGCACUGGUUUAAAGUUGUAUUAAAUCCUUCCUCUUUAGAGUAGAAGUGCAAAGAGAAAUUUAGAAACAGAAGAGAGGCAAAUUUGCUCAUGAUUGCCAUAAAUUCAAUGCUGUGCUUCUAAGCAAGACACAUUGGAUGUGCUUCUACAACAGCAUGAGAGAAGAAUUUCAGGAUGCGGUUGUAAUGACGCAGUAUGUAUUUGAACCAAAACAUCUCUGUUCGGAUGAGGAUACCUUACUUCUGCUCUUGCCCAUACCACGCCAGUAAAUAAGGAGAGCUGCACACCUCCCUCCUGCUGUUCUGGGAGCCAGGUCUGAUCCGGCUCCGCGUGUGCGGGGGCUUGGAAACAGAAUUUAGAAUUCGCAGCGGCGUUCUAUUUCCUUCCACGAGAGGGGGAUCGCCUUUGCUCGAUGCUCCCAUGAAAGCUAGAGAGCGUGGUUUUGAGACGGGCUCAAAGCAGCAGCAUAGAGCAUCAUGUGCGCUCCUACCCACAGCAACAGCGCUGAGAAAGGCAGGUUUAGCUCCAGCGAAGCGUCAGCCGCACGUUCCGGAUCUGGCUGCAGUUUCAAGUGAAGAUGAAGUUAAAGUAAGAAGCUGGCUGUACAACAAACUCCUGGAGACCAGGCUGAGAUGUUGCAGCAGACUUCCUCUUUGCAGUGGUUAAGGAACAGCAGAGAAUUGAGAAAUGGAGAGAAAAAUUAUCUCUAGAGUGAUAAGAAUGAAGAUUAUUCUGUUAA